AGCAUCGCCUGGGAAUCGAACCCGGGCCGCCCGCGUGGGAGGCGAGCAUUCUACAACUGAACCGC
rnacentral:tRNA from 1 species